UUUCUGACUUUCCCUCUUCCUGCUGUCUGGAAGGGGGUUGUGAUGGCUGGAGUUCCAGCAGUUAUACUGGACCAUGAAGUGACCCUGGAGAUGAAAGCCUAAAUUCCUAAGCGGCCCUAUCAGCCCUGAACUGCCUACCUCUAAACUUUGUUUUCAGCUUUAGUAAGCCAGGUUGACCGCAUCUAAACACACUCCAUUAUCAUCGCGGCAAAUGGGUGGCUGGAACCGCCUAGCUGGGGAAGUCAACGGGAGCAAAACGACAUUGCUCUGGAACGACCUGGGGGCUUAGCGAACAGUCUGGACAUAAAUCUUCCCAGUUUAAAAAAAAAAAGAGCACUUUCA